rnacentral:rRNA from 1 species
GACGAACGCUGGCGGCGUGCUUAACACAUGCAAGUCGGACGAUGAAGCUGGAGCUUGCUCCGGUGGAUUAGUGGCGAACGGGUGAGUAACACGUGAGUAAUCUGCCCUUGACUCUGGGAUAACUGCGGGAAACUGUAGCUAAUACCGGAUACGACACCUUCGGGCAUCCGAUGGGUGUGGAAAGAAUUUCGGUCAAGGAUGAACUCGCGGCCUAUCAGCUAGUUGGUGAGGUAAUGGCUCACCAAGGCGACGACGGGUAGCCGGCCUGAGAGGGUGACCGGCCACACUGGGACUGAGACACGGCCCAGACUCCUACGGGAGGCAGCAGUGGGGAAUAUUGCACAAUGGGCGAAAGCCUGAUGCAGCAACGCCGCGUGAGGGAUGAAGGCCUUCGGGUUGUAAACCUCUUUUAGUUGGGAAGAAGCGAAAGUGACGGUACCAACAGAAAAAGCACCGGCCAACUACGUGCCAGCAGCCGCAGUAA